rnacentral:rRNA from 1 species
UACGGGGGGCAAGCGUUGUUCGGAAUUACUGGGCGUAAAGGGCGCGUAGGCGGCCUUCUAAGUCGAACGUGAAAUCCCCGGGCUCAACCCGGGAACUGCGUCCGAUACUGGAAGGCUUGAAUCCGGGAGAGGGAUGCGGAAUUCCAGGUGUAGCGGUGAAAUGCGUAGAUAUCUGGAGGAACACCGGUGGCGAAGGCGGCAUCCUGGACCGGUAUUGACGCUGAGACGCGAAAGCGUGGGUAGCAAACGAGG